UAAGGUGGUUAUAGCAACGAGGCUCACCUCUUCCCAUUCCGAACAGAGAAGUUAAGCCCACCAGCGCCGAUGGUACUGCAGUAACAUGUGGGAGAGUAGGUCGUCGCCAGCU
rnacentral:rRNA from 1 species